rnacentral:lncRNA from 1 species
GUGAAAUCAAUUCAACGCCUCACACUCAUCCACCAUUCGUCUUCCAGACCCUUCCAAUCGCAUGUUAAAACUCGAAUUCGAGCGAGUGAGAGGGGAGGGGAAUCUUGCAUCAGAAACCGUUAGCAACGGCAAGAUGAGAGAAGGAGGGACGCAUGGGUUAGAGAUUUGAGAUCACUCGCCAUGGUUUUGGCCUAAAAUGAGACUGGACUCGAGUGAAGAAGGCGAUUGAACAUUUCG